rnacentral:rRNA from 1 species
UACGAAGGUCCCAAGCGUUGUUCGGAAUCACUGGGCGUAAAGGGAGCGUAGGCGGCGCGGUAAGUCAGAUGUGAAAUCCCGGGGCUCAACCCCGGAACUGCAUCCGAUACUGCCGUGCUUGAGGGUUGGAGAGGUAGCUGGAAUUAUCGGUGUAGCAGUGAAAUGCGUGGAUAUCGAUAGGAACACUCGUGGCGAAGGCGAGCUACUGGACAACAUCUGACGCUGAGGAUCGAAGGCCAGGGGAGCAAAAGGG